rnacentral:rRNA from 1 species
UACGGGAGGCAGCAGUGAGGAAUAUUGGUCAAUGGGCGAGAGUCUGAACCAGCCAAGUCGCGUGAAGGAUGAAGGCCCUAUGGGUUGUAAACUUCUUUUAUAAGGGAAUAAAUUUAGGGACGUGUCCCUUUUUGUAGGUACCUUAUGAAUAAGGAUCGGCUAACUCCGUGCCAGCAGCCGCGGUAAUACGGAGGAUCCAAGCGUUAUCCGGAUUUAUUGGGUUUAAAGGGUGCGUAGGCGGACAAAUAAGUCAGUGGUGAAAGCCUGCGGCUCAACUGUGAAAUUGCCAUUGAUACUGUUUUUCUUGAGUGUACAUAGAGGUAGGCGGAAUUUGUUGUGUAGCGGUGAAAUGCUUAGAUAUCACGAAGAACUCCAAUUGCGAAGGCAGCUCACUAGGGUACAACUGACGCUGAGGCACGAAAGUGUGGGGAUCAAACAGGAUUAGAUACCCUGGUAGUCCACCCAGUAAACGAUGAUUACUCGCUGUGGGCGAUAUACAGUCAGUGGCCAAGCGAAAGCGAUAAGUAUCCAC